UGCCGCGUGUGUGAAGAAGGCCUUCGGGUUGUAAAGCACUUUUAUCAGGAGCGAAAUACUACUGGCUAAUAAUCGGUGGGGCUGACGGUACCUGAGGAAUAACCACCGGCUAACUUCGUGCCAUCAGCCGCGGUAAUACUAAGGGUGCAAGCGUUAAUCGGAAUUACUGGGCGUAAAGCGUGCGUAGGCGGUUUGUUAAGUCUGUUGUGAAAUCCCCGGGCUCAACCUGGGAAUGGCAAUGGAUACUGGCAAGCUUGAGUGUGAUAAAGGAUGGUGGAAUUCCCGGUGUAGCGGUGAAAUGCGUAAAGAUCGGGAGGAACAUCAUUGGCGAAGGCGGCCAUCUGGAUCAACACUGACGCUGAGGCACGAAAGCGUGGGGAGCAAACAGGAUUAAAUACCCUGGUAGUCCACGCCCUAAACGAUGCUAACUGGAUGUUGGUCUCAACUCGGAGAUCACUGUCGAAGCUAACGCGUUAAGUUCGCCGCCUGGGGAGUACUGUCGCAAGACUGAAACUCAAAGGAAUUGACGGGGGCCCGCACAAGCGGUGGAGUAUGUGGUUUAAUUCCAUGCAACGCGAAUAACCUUACCUGGACUUGACAUGUCUGGAAUCCUGCGGAGA
rnacentral:rRNA from 1 species